UAGGCUUCACCUCGCAGGAACAUGAGCGUGGCUCUGGAGAACCAUGGGAAAAAUGUUGGUGGUUGUUAUUUUGAGCGCAAGGAGAUGAAGGGGAGUGACCACACAGCAGAUGAUGAAGGCGUUUAAAAACAUGGGGAGGCAUAAAUGUUUGAGAAAAUAUCUCACAUGUUCUCUGAAGCACAGACUGUGGAGGUUUUGGUCUGUGAGGCUUUCAUGAAUCAGUGGGGCAGCGGUUCAGUCUUUUUUGUCUGAUGUGUCCCUACCAGAUCCUCUUCAUGUGUAACCUCUGCACUGUUAAAAGCAACACAUUACACAACUCUCUGUGUUGAUUGGUCGAUGAUGACAUCACCUCUGCAGGGCUGCAAGGAGACUUCGCCAUGACAACCAGUGAGCACUAUUAUUGGAUUUCCCCUCUUCAGAGCGUGGAGAGGCCACACAGACGGACUCACACCUGUUUAAGUGCUCAGACUGAGGAGAGAGAGGCAGGUUUCACAGGCCGAGCUGAAACAAGAGGCCGCUCAGGAUUUCCCCAGACGCAGAGGAGCCUCGCAGGCCUCGGUGAAACAGCCCUGACACUCAGCGGCGCUGCUCCACCAAGCCCUGAAACACUUGAUUAACUUGGAUUAACUACACUUAUUCAUUUAGACAUUGGUUUAAAAAUCAAGAUACAGCUCUUUAAUGAUGAUAAAAUCUCUGGGUGUGAGUCAAAUUAAAUCUAUAUCCUCAAAGUUCAACACAAGAGGGCAGCAUUGUAUUAUCAAAGGACUAACUCAUGACCAGAUUUUUUUAAUGUUAUUAUGACUUACAUUUAUAUUGUCUUUAUUAUUCUGUAGAUUUCUGUGUCGUACUUUUUAUAUU